GAUGAACGCUGGCGGCGUGCCUAAUACAUGCAAGUCGAGCGAACAGACGAGGAGCUUGCUCCUCUGACGUUAGCGGCGGACGGGUGAGUAACACGUGGAUAACCUACCUAUAAGACUGGGAUAACUUCGGGAAACCGGUGCUAAUACCGGAUAAUAUAUUCAACCGCAUGGUUCAAUAGUUAAAGACGGUUUUGCUGUCACUUAUAGAUGGAUCCGCGCUGCAUUAGCUAGUUGGUAAGGUAACGGCUUACCAAGGCGACGAUGCGUAGCCGACCUGAGAGGGUGAUCGGCCACACUGGAACUGAGACACGGUCCAGACUCCUACGGGAGGCAGCAGUAGGGAAUCUUCCGCAAUGGGCGAAAGCCUGACGGAGCAACGCCGCGUGAGUGAUGAAGGUCUUCGGAUCGUAAAACUCUGUUAUUAGGGAAGAACAAAUGUGUAAGUAACUAUGCACGUCUUGACGGUACCUAAUCAGAAAGCCACGGCUAACUACGU
rnacentral:rRNA from 1 species